GCUGCCUCUUACAGAUCUCCGAAGAGUUAGCCUCACAGAAACCUCUGGAUGUGGAGAUGGCUGGCUGACAUCAUAGGAUACUCAGAAAUGAACUUGGGGUUAAGACAACAACAUAUUGACAUAAUCAUGAUGUCUGGAGGUGUCGCCAUUUGGAAACCAUAUUUCAACAUGCCUGGAGUCAAAGAAGCAACCAGCUGCAGACAAUGGAGUAGAAGCACGUCCUUGGUAAAAUGAUGGAGCUGUACCAACUCUGGACUGCUAACCUCUGGACUUCCUUGUAUUUAAGAUGAGGAUGCCUUCACCACUUCUGUUCAUCAUAAUGAAGGAACAGGCUGACCAGAGGUAGGAAACACACCUAAAAGGUAUCCAUCAUGACUAGCAGACGAAUGGAACAAUUGGAACAAUGUGAUGCCCGGAGCCCAUCGCUCCUGGAGACCAACAUCCCUGGAUCCUCUCCUUACUGCCCAUUUUCCCUAUGUAACUGCCUCAAGAUUCUGCAAUUCUUGAAGAUGGUUUUUGUUUUGAGACAAGACUCUACCAUCUUCCCUAUUAUGCUGGUUAACUGAAU